ensembl:lncRNA
CCAAGGGGGGGGGGGGGGAGGGGCUGGGAGGCAGCCGCUUUGCUCCCCUCCACAGGUCAGAGACACAGAGACAGGUGCACGGGAGGCCAUAUGUGGCCCGGGGCCUGGCCACCGGGUAGUUGCCGAGACGCCCUCUGCGGCCCUGCCCUGGCUCUGCCCACCCCACCCUCAGUCCUAGGUCAGCCCGGCCCGUGCCCUCCAGACCCCCGUGCUCGCUGAGAGAAGGCCGGCGUCAGUGUCGACGCGCUGCCCUGCGUCGGCACGCCUGCGGCCACGGUGCCCAGGCUGCCCGGACGCCGGCCCCCGCCCGCCUCCCUGAGAGCGCCGCAGCCCGGCCUGCGCUGGAGUCACCAAAUCCUGGAAGGGAGACUUCAGGACCGCAGACCGUCCACAGAGGCCCUCUGCCCGGCGCGGCCCAGCCCGCCCCUCCUGCCCCAAUCCUGGGCUCCUUCCCGCCACCCUGUCCCCGCAGGCCUCGCUAAGACACCUCCCCUUGGCCUGGCUGGCGUCCCUCUGUCCCCACCUCCUCUCCCAGCCUCCUGGACCCUAGAUCGUCCCCACGGGAGACGCCCCCCACCUGCGCCCUGGUGGUGCUGGACAUGGGGAACGCCAGCCGGGGGCGCAGCCAGCCCCUCCUACCCGGCCUCUGGGACUCGCACAGAGCCCAGGCCUGGCCACCCGCCCCAGCUCCCGUACCUCCCCUCCCCUGGCUCCUGGCCCAGUGAGCCCCAGCCUCAGGCGUCUAGCCUGUGAUGGGGCGGCAACCGCGGCCUGGCUGGCUGUUUGCGCUCCUGAGCCUCAGUUUCCCAAUAUGUAAAUGGGGAGCAAGAGGAGGACAGCGUGCCCCAUCUCUGCCCUGAGAGCCCCAGGAAGGAUGCCGGUACCUGGAAUCCAGGACCCGAAGGACGGCCCCCAGGCCUGAGCUAGUUCCCGCAGCUGCCCCCCCCCCGCCCCACUUCAGGCCGACAUGCACCCCGAGCCUGCCCAGCCGGCCCUGCCCUGGUCCGGGGCUCCGGGCCUUGGGAAGAGGCAAAGCCCAGGCGAGAGGGAGCCACUGAAGGUUUCCAGCCAGGGAGUGGUGUUCGGAAGCAGGCUCCAGAGGUGUUCCGAGAAGGAGGGCCAGCGGGGGUCGAGACCAGCAGAGCCUGGGCGCUGGGGCUGGGGGAGGGCCGGGCGGGGGUGGGGUGGACACCGGGGCCACUGUAGUUGGGGGGGGGGCUCGGCCCUGGGUCCCAGAGGACCUGCCUCACCGGCCUGGGAGGGACUCCAGGGCCGGGUCGAAACACCGGACUGGCAGCGCGUCCCAGAAACCACAAGUCAGCGGCUCCCCUCCCGCUGACGCUGCCUGGAAAGCCACUCUGGGAACGCCCCGGGUGCGGCACAGAGACGGGGGUGAGAGGGCAGAGGGUCAGUGUCGGAUAUUGCCUGGGGCCCUCAGGGGAAGGACCGAGUCCCCAGGGUGGGGCCUGGGCCGGAAGGGAGGAGCCUGGCCUGGCUGCGAGUGGGGGGCACCUGCAACGCCCCCAUCGGGUCUCCCAGGCAGUGCUGGGUGAUGACAGGCUCAGCGCGGAAGCCCCGGGGGUCCAGACCCCCAAGGGGCUGACGCUGCUGUGCUGUUGAUGAAGGAGAGACAAGGCCCCCGGCUGGAGCCCAGCCAGGCCCUGGGGGGGCCCCAAAAGGAGGUAGAGGGGGCUGGCACAGGGUCCACUCUGGGCCAGGUUGGCUCUUAGGCACCUCUUGGUUCCCCCCCACCUCCGGCCCCCUGCGCAGGGCUGCCCCCCGGCCCUCCCCCACCGUGCCCUGAGGAAACUGUCCCCCCAGGGCAGUGGGGGGGAGCCAGGCCCACAGGAAGCAGGAAGGGGGUCUGGGCAGGGAGGCGCUGGUGGCUUGGGAUGGGGAAUUUCUUGGGCGUAGGGGAGCUUAGCCAGGGAGUAAAAGCACAGAAUUCUUUCCAUUUCUCUGUGGUGACUCAGUAGCUGUUCCCCCCCUUCCCACCCCCUACCCCGGGUGACUGCGUCAGCCCCCGGAAGGCGCCUGACCUCUAGCGUGGGGUGAGCGCCCCCCCCCCCUGCUGUGCUUCAGCCCAACUUCUCUUCCCAGUCAGGUGUGGCCUGGCCCAGCUCAGCCCCCACCCUCCACCCUGCGCUGCUCUCCCCCCCCCUCCUCCCCCCCCCCCCCCCCCCGUCCUGGUCCCCCACCCUGGCCACACCCAUCUCCAACCCAGCCUGGACUCCAGCCUCCAGGCUUUUAUAGGGUGCUGGGCCCUGGAUC